GCGGGUGUAGCUUAGUGGUAAAGCUCCAGCCUUCCAAGCUGGCGACGAGGGUUCGAUUCCCUUCACCCGCUCCAAAC
rnacentral:tRNA from 1 species